AUUUUUGAUCCCGACCCUAAAUCAGUGAGUUCAAUUAUUCAACAAGAUGUCGUUUUUAUCCAAUUUGUGACAUUCAAAGUCAAUCAUUCAAAACAAACAUAUAUCAAGCAACAAAUCACCUCAGAUAGAGCAAACACAUCAAAACAUAUUCAUGGUCAUAUAAAAUUAAAGGAAUAAAGAUGAAGAGUGGACCUCAAAAGCUUUUCCGAUUGAAUGAUUCUACUCAGACAACAAUUUUAACUAUAUUUCAACCCGCUUAGAUUGUGAAAUUCCUUUAACAACACCACAGAAAGUACGUGACAAGAACUGUAAACCGAAUCAACCAGUGACCUCGAUUCGAAUUCCCCUAUUUUUUCUCAAACGGGUUUUGUG
rnacentral:lncRNA from 1 species